AGGUUAAAUGGAAUGGCGUCCUAUCUAAGUGGGUAACUGGGUCAGAUGAUGGAAGUAUACGAAUAUGGGUAAUAAUUAUUCAAAAUACAUGGUACCGAUUGAAUUAGACUAAUAUCGGACGGUUUUUUAAAUUUCAACGAUCACACCUCCUUAGCAUUUCUAAUGUUAAUUUAUACCUGUUAAAUUAUUGAAAUUUCAGAGUGACGACGGUAUCCAAUGUUUUAUUUUUUUAUGAUUGUGAAUCCACGACUUUUAUAAAAUAGUUAAAAACUUGAACAAUCCUGACAAUAUUCAAACAAAAGCGUAGGAGUUAGAACUGGAAAAAUUUUAUGCUUUAUAAAAAAGCCUUCAGUGCAUGGAUAUCUUUAUUCAAUAAUUAUAGUGAGAUUCAUAACUUUGAAAUUUCUUUCUAUAAGAUAAAUUUGGAUAUUGCAUAUUGGAAUGGCUAUUAGCAUCAUUCUGCAUCAAAUCAUCAUGAUUUAUUCGCCAUAUAGGGUUUAUGAUCCAGAUACUCGAAAAUUUGUUCAAACGAAUGUUGGUCACAGUGACUCCGUGAGAAGCAUAAUUCACGUACCUGAGAGGGGACAGGUUUGUGAUAGUUGAUAUUAUGUUACCUCAAAAAUGUCUGUUUCGUGUACAGCCAAUACAAAAAAUGGUUAUCCUUCAAGAAUCUUAAACAUUGAGCGUGCAAGGUAUGAUGGGUAUUGCUUAUUUGAAGCUUAAUAUUGGACAUCAGCUUAGUGAACCAAAUAGCCCUACAUCGAAAGUGUUCAUUAUUUAUGCCCUGGAAUUGUUGCAAAGCAAAUUUUCCGAGUUUAAGACUCUAAAUAGGAAGUUACCCAUCAUACCAUGCGCGCUCGAUGUUAAGGACUGGUUUAAGAUUUUUGAAAGACAACCUUUUCUGGAUUAGCUGUAUGCAUUAUUGUUGUGCCGCAUCCUUCAAUAAUGUGUAAUAUUUUGUCCAUUUUUCUUGUACUAUACAGUAUAUUUCGUCGUCUUGGGAUACAACCGUUCGAAUUUGGAAUGCAUAUAAAAAAA